AAUAAGCUAUUUAAGAGCGUAUGGGGGAUGCCUAGGCUCUCAGAGGCGAAGAAGGGCGUGAUAAGCUGCGAUAAGCUGCGGGGAUUGGCACACACAAUUUGAUCCGCAGAUUUCCGAAUGGGGAAACCCACUAUAUUGAAGAUAUAGUAUCCGUUAAAGGAGGUAAACCCAGGGAAACUGAAACAUCUAAGUACCUGGAGGAAAAGAAAACAAAAGUGAUUCCGUUAGUAGUGGCGAGCGAACGCGGAUUAGCCCAAACCAAGUUGUUUCGGCAAUUUUGGGGUUGUAGGACCACGACAUUGAAUGUUUAAUGACUAGAAUUCUUUGGAAAAAGAAACCAUAGAGGGUGAUAGUCCCGUAUAAGUAAA
rnacentral:rRNA from 1 species